rnacentral:misc_RNA from 1 species
UUGAAACAUUGUAAAGGAGAGUUGAGCUGGCCCUUCUAGGGCAAGUGCUCGCUUUUCUUUCAAUCUUCAUCCACCUGUGCACCUUUUGUAGAGAGUCUUUGAGAAAGGGGCCCUAGGUCCCAAGUAUUGGGGCUUUCUAUGUCUUUAUAAACUCUAAAUGUAUGUCUUUGAAUGUCUUUUAUAAGGGACUUAAUUGGACCUUUUAAAAACUAUA